rnacentral:rRNA from 1 species
GAUGAACGCUGGCGGCGUGCCUAAUACAUGCAAGUCGAGCGAACAGAUGAGGAGCUUGCUCCUCUGACGUUAGCGGCGGACGGGUGAGUAACACGUGGAUAACCUACCUAUAAGACUGGGAUAACUUCGGGAAACCGGAGCUAAUACCGGAUAAUAUAUUGAACCGCAUGGUUCAAUAGUGAAAGACGGUUUUGCUGUCACUUAUAGAUGGAUCCGCGCCGCGUUAGCUAGUUGGUAAGGUAACGGCUUACCAAGGCAACGAUGCGUAGCCGACCUGAGAGGGUGAUCGGCCACACUGGAACUGAGACAGGGUCCAGACUCCUACGGGAGGCAGCAGUAGGGAAUCUUCCGCAAUGGGCGAAAGCCUGACGGAGCAACGCCGCGUGAGUGAUGAAGGUCUUCGGAUCGUAAAACUCUGUUAUUAGGGAAGAACAAAUGUGUAAGUAACUAUGCACGUCUUGACGGUACCUAAUCAGAAAGCCACGGCUAACUACGUG